rnacentral:rRNA from 1 species
CCUACGGGAGGCAGCAGUGAGGAAUAUUGGUCAAUGGACGAGAGUCUGAACCAGCCAAGUAGCGUGAAGGAUGACUGCCCUAUGGGUUGUAAACUUCUUUUAUAUGGGAAUAAAAUGUUCCACGUGUGGGAUUUUGUAGGUACCCUAUGAAUAAGGAUCGGCUAACUCCGUGCCAGCAGCCGCGGUAAUACGGAGGAUCCGAGCGUUAUCCGGAUUUAUUGGGGUUAAAGGGAGCGUAGGUGGAUUGUUAAGUCAGUUGUGAAAGUUUGCGGCUCAACCGUAAAAUUGCAGUUGAAACUGGCAGUCUUGAGUACAGUAGAGGUGGGCGGAAUUCGUGGUGUAGCGGUGAAAUGCUUAGAUAUCACGAAGAACCCCGAUUGCGAAGGCAGUUCACUGGACUGCAACUGACACUGAGGCUCGAAAGUGUGGGUAUCAAACAGGAUUAGAUACCCGGGUAGUC